UGGGGAAUUUUGCACAAUGGGGGAAACCCUGAUGCAGCGACGCCGCGUGAUUUAGAAGGCCUUCGGGUUGUAAAAAUCUUUUUUACGGGAUGAAAAUGACAGUACCGUAAGAAUAAGGUCCGGCUAAAUACGUGCCAGCAGCCGCGGUAAUACGUAUGGACCGAGCGUUGUCCGGAAUCAUUGGGCGUAAAGGGUACGUAGGCGGCCUAGUAAGUUAGAAGUUAAAGAAUAUAGCUCAACUAUAUAAAGCUUUUAAAACUGCUAGGCUUGAGAGAUGGAAGGGAAAGUGGAAUUCCUGGUGUAGCGGUGAAAUGCGCAGAUAUUAGGAAGAAUACCGGUGGCGAAGGCGACUUUCUGGUCAUCAUCUGACGCUGAGGUACGAAAGCGUGGGUAGCAAACAGG
rnacentral:rRNA from 1 species